UGGUAAAAUGUGAUGUACCUAGUAAUAUUAGUGAUUAAUAUGAGGCUAACCGAGUUAGUUAAAAUUCUAAGUAUAUAUGUGAUUAUGACAAUAUGUGCUUAUUUCUUGACCAAGUCACGUGCCAGCCGUCGCGGUAAUACGUGGAAGAUCAGUGUUAUUCAUCUUUAUCAGGUUUAAAGGGUACCUAGACGGUUAAUUAAGCUUUAGUAGGAACUAAUUAACUAGAGUUUAAUGUAAGAAUGAUUGAGUACGGUGAGUGUAGAGAUAAAAUUCUGUCAUACCACUUAGGAACUGGUAAAAGCGAAGGCAACUUUCUAUGUAAAAACUGACGUUAAGGGACGAAGGCUCGUAUCAAAUAACAGGAUUAGAUACCCCAGCAUUGUGGGCAGACAAUGAUGAGUGUCAUAUGCAAGAGAUAAAUAUAUAAAAAAAUAUUUUGUGUAUAAAUGAAAGUGUAAGCACUCCACCUCAAGAGUAACGUGGCAACAUGGGAACUGAAAUCAUUAGACCGUUUCUGAAACUCGUAGUGAAGUAUGUUGUUUAAUUAGAUGGUGCACAAAUAACCUUACCACAAUUUGUAUAACUAUAGUACAUAAUAAUAAUAUAGUUACAAGCGUUGCACGGCUGUCUUUAGUCUAUGUUUGAAACUGUGGUUAGAUCCAUUAAAUAGACGUAAACCCUUACUUUAUUUAUUAUAAAGUAGUUCGCCGCUAUAUUGGUAGUGAUAUAAGGGACUAGGACAAGUCAUCAUGACCUGAACAUUGU
rnacentral:rRNA from 1 species